rnacentral:lncRNA from 1 species
UACCAUAAAUUAUGCCCAUGAAUAAGCAUGUCCUGCUUCUUCAGAGGUGCUGAACACUUCUGUUGACUUCAGUGGAAACUGGAAUAAGCCCAGUGCAUGCUUUGCAUGAAUCAUGUUACAUAACAGAAAAUGAUGGUAAUUUAUGUUCAGCACGAUGAUGAAAAGUUCUUGAACUCCUUUUCAGUUUGAAAGAUGGGAGAACUGGAGAGUUGCACUGAGUCUUAUAAAUCAGCUGCUCUUGAAACCUUCACUGCUCUUCUCACGUGCAGCUCCACAGUGCCCAGGUGCUCCUUCCCACCUACCUCAGCAUGGGCCACUUGCAGAGGAUGUUGCUGCCUUGUGUGAUGUGAUACCAGCACAGGGAACACCUGGGACCCCCAGGAAGCUGUGGGUGAAGAACCUGCACCUUCUUGGCAUGAGAGAUGUUUUCCAUUGCCAUCUGGAUACACCUUGUGCUGCUGGGAAGGGGCCAAUAUUCCAGAUGCUUCUGCAUUCAUGACCCAGAUGGCCAAAGGUGGAAGCACAGAAGGCCCAUGUGCUGCAGAGAUUUGCCAUCUGAGGCGAUAUGGUGGGAGCAGCUGUGAGGACCGAGCAUGUUUAACGGAGGUAAAAAGAAAAGGCAGGGACUGAGGAAGAGGUGAUGGAGUGGAGGCAGCGCUGAGGGACAAAGGUGUGGGUCACUCUCCUCAGACCCCUCUGCUCCAGCGAUGCUCCCAGCUGUGCAGCACAGUGCUGCUGUGUGCUGACCACUGCACAGCUGGGCUGCGGCAGCUCUGUGUGAGGGUGGCACUGAGCUCUGCACUCCUGGGUCUGUGCGGGCAGUGAGCGGGGCUGCAGCUUGGGCAGCUCUGACUGCUCUAUUUCUCAUUUAGACACACAGCUCAGAGUUGUGCCAGUGAAACAAAUCUUUCUGGGUGACUGAAAGAUAAAUCUACAAAUACAAGGAGUGAAUGUGAUCUCAGUGCUGCUGUGUUCCAGUGUGUGACACCAAAUGACGUGCUGCAGGAAGCAGAAUGGGAAUCUUGUAUUUGACUGAUAAUUAAAUUCAAUCAAGUAUUUUAAGUCCAGCAAGCAAUACUCACCAUGUUGUGAUCCUCCGUUGUUAAUGACCAGUCCCAGCAGCAGUCUGCUGAGGU